rnacentral:rRNA from 1 species
UACGUAGGGUGCAAGCGUUGUCCGGAAUUAUUGGGCGUAAAGAGCUCGUAGGCGGUCUGUCGCGUCGAUCGUGAAAACUUGGGGCUUAACCCUGAGCUUGCGGUCGAUACGGGCAUGACUGGAGUUCGGCAGGGGAGACUGGAAUUCCUGGUGUAGCGGUGAAAUGCGCAGAUAUCAGGAGGAACACCGGUGGCGAAGGCGGGUCUCUGGGCCGAUACUGACGUGAGGAGCGAAAGCGUGGGGGAG